rnacentral:lncRNA from 1 species
UUUUAAAGUAUAAACAGGCGCAUUAGUUUGUUAACACAGACAUUAGUUUCUAUGACAUUAACAGGCGCAGUAGUUUGUUCAUGUAUGUUUAAUUUUGUUUUAUUUGUAUGAUAAGAGGAUUACGUACGUAUGAAUAUUGUGAACAGAAUAUUUUUAAAUGUAUCAGUUGUCAGAGUUGACAAGACCAUAUUUCGAGGACGAAAUGUAUUCUGGGGGAGGGGCAGUGUUGUAAAUGUAUAUAUUGGUUAUUUCCAAGUAAAGGAAUAUUGUUAUUAUUGUAUUAAGAGAGUUUAUAUAAGUUGUCAGAAGUUAUUUCUAGUAUUUAGUAUAUUGAAUGAGUAUUUAACGUACGUUUUACUUUAUGUUAUUAGCUGUAUCGAUAACGUCGUAUAUGGCGCAACUUUGUCAUGUAUUGUUCAGAACGUUACCGUUGGGUCAAUAUUUUAAGCGUGAACCCAAAAGUGUACAUUUACGAGUUUUUAACUGGAAGAAUUAAUAUAUCUAGAUAUGUUUAUUUAUAAGAGUGUUUGAUUAUAAGCAUUUUGAGUCGAGGACUCCUAUAUUUUAUGUAAGCGUUUUACGUUGUUUUUCUUCCUGCUUAGAAUAUUUACUUCCGGUAAUUUGAAAUAAAUACCAGUGCAACGUCACAUUCGUCAGUCUUUGCUGUGUUUACGUUUGGCUUGCAGCAAGGCUCAUCCCGGGGGGUCCUAGAGGUAAGAAGCAGCGCAUUAGCUGUAUGCCUUGCAUUUAUUUACCGUAUUUAUCAUUGUAAUAUGUAAGAUAAUCCCAGUUGACCCGUACGAAAAUACAUGAGAAAGAUUAUUAUUUUAGUGGUUUCGUCCCGUAUGUUUAUUAUAUAUAUUAUUGUUGGAAUAUUGUACUUAUAUGGAAAGAUAUCGGCUAUUAAUAAAAGUAUCAUUUUUACUAUUGAUCAUUUAUUCACGCUACCAAUGACGAGAGAGAACAGACAACAGAUUUGAUGUCCGUAUUUAUUUAUUACC